AUUGAACGCUGGCGGCAGGCUUAACACAUGCAAGUCGAACGAGUGGCGGACGGGUGAGUAAUGCUUGGUAAUCUGGCUGAUUGAGGGGGAUAACUACGGGAAACUGUAGCUAAUACCGCGUACCAUAGGAUGAGCCCAAGUGGGAUUAGGUAGUUGGUGCGGUAAAGACUCCCCAAGCCGACGCUCUCUAGCUGGUAUGAGAGGAUGACCAGCCCCCCUGGGACUGAUGCACGGGCCAGACGCCUACGUGAGGCAGCAGUGGGGACUAUUGCGCUAUUGGGGCGACCUGAAGCAGCCAUGCCGCGUGUAUGAAGAAGUGCUGCGGUUUGUAAAGUUCUUUCGGUAGCGAGGCGUUAACUACAGAAGAAGCACCGGCUAACUCCGUGCCAGCAGCCGCGGUAAUUC
rnacentral:rRNA from 1 species